rnacentral:lncRNA from 1 species
ACCCAGCAGCGCAACAGAUCCUGAGAGGAGCUACAGGAUGAUUCUAGAAACAGCGCACUUCAGGAAUCAUGUUGCAGGUGUUGUGCAUUGGAUCCACCACAGUCGGCUGAAACUGACAACUCAAGACAAGUGGACCAGCCAGCAGGACCCAGAUCAUCCAACUCGGCUGAUCCUGAGACGGGACCAAACUGCUGCCGAAGACGACCGCCCU